GCGGGAGUAGCACAGUGGUAGUGCGUCUCGUUGCCAACGAGAAGAUCGCGGGUUCAAAUCCCGUCUCCCGCUCCA
rnacentral:tRNA from 1 species